GAUGAACGCUGGCGGCGUGCUUAACACAUGCAAGUCGAACGAAGCACUUUUGCUGAGACCUUCGGGUGGAUUUAAAAGUGACUGAGUGGCGGACGGGUGAGUAACGCGUGGGUAACCUGCCUCACACAGGGGGAUAACAGUUAGAAAUGACUGCUAAUACCGCAUAAGCGCACGGUCUCGCAUGGGACAGUGUGAAAAACUCCGGUGGUGUGAGAUGGACCCGCGUCUGAUUAGCUAGUUGGUGGGGUAACGGCCUACCAAGGCGACGAUCAGUAGCCGACCUGAGAGGGCGACCGGCCACAUUGGGACUGAGACACGGCCCAAAACUCCUACGGGAGGCAGCAGUGGGGAAUAUUGCACAAUGGGGAAACCCUGAUGCAGCGACGCCGCGUGAUUGAAGAAGUAUUUCGGUAUGUAAAGAUCUAUCAGCAAGGAAGAAAGUGACGGUAACCUGACUAAGAAGCCCCGGCUAAACCUACGUG
rnacentral:rRNA from 1 species